UACAGAGGUCCCGAGCGUUGUUCGGAUUCACUGGGCGUAAAGGGUGCGUAGGUGGUGAGGUAAGUCGGAUGUGAAAUCUCCGGGCUCAACCCGGAAAUGGCAUUGGAAACUACCUUGCUAGAGGGUUUGAGGGGGGAUUGGAAUACUUGGUGUAGCAGUGAAAUGCGUAGAUAUCAAGUGGAACACCAGUGGCGAAGGCGAAUCCCUGGAAAAUACCUGACACUGAGGCACGAAAGCUAGGGGAGCAAACAGG
rnacentral:rRNA from 1 species